AGAACCUGGACGUCGGUGCGGAGCUGGUGCGGUUGGGCUUCGCCGUCCCCGCUCCCCAGGAGGAAGAAGGGGCAGGGGGUGAUGGCCCCCCCCAGCCGGCCCAGGACCCCCCCCCGGAGAACGGCACCGGUGCCUCCCUGGAGCCCCGGAAAAGUCCCGGUGAGACCCCCCCGGUCUGCACCAGCCUCCCGGGUGCCGGUGCUGGCGGGGACGGCGGGAGGACGGCGAGCAGCCCCUCGUGAGCCCCAGCCGGGAUCCGGUGCCCGUUUCCAUCCCGGUUUGUGUCCAGUGGUUACCGGCCCUUUUCCUCUCUUAACGGCCGUGCUGGCCACGGGGCUGUGUCCCCUCCCCGGGAUAACCGGGGCUCUGCUCCGCCGAGGGAUGGCGAUGUCGGUGCUACCGUUACCGGGAGGGUCUCCGAGAGCUCCCGGUUGCUCCCGGUCCCGGUUACCGGCUUCCCCUUGGAUUGUUUUCACCCCAGCCCGGUUCUGUGGCGAGGGGAAGGCGCCACGUUGGUGCCCUGAUUUAAUAAAAUUGAAUGUUUUGGA